CACCUGUCCUUUGUCUCCGGCUUCCAUCUACACCCUGCUUUUACACUGCCCGUGACCAAGCCAUCAGGUUGCCAGGCGGCACAUCCUUCCUGAGUUUUAUCUCGGAUGCGGCUGUGUUUCCCAACCCCUUGUAGGGAACUGUCGCUUUGACCCGCUCUGACCCUCGGCGGGAGGGUCUCACCGAGCCAUGGCCGGUGCCAGCCGCACCCAGGAACGUGAACGGCCCGUGCUGCUGCCGAUGCCCGGAGACUGCGGCGGGUGCCAGCCCGCCCCCCAGAAAAAGUUCCCGCGUUUCAGGGAUUAUGGAAAAUCACAACACACACCUGGCACCAGGCUUCCCCCUUAACAACCUUGUUCCAGCACCAGUGAAUGUGUUUCUGCAGGAUCCGCUGGGACCUUUGCGUGUGGGGAGUCCUCCCAGCAGGGGACCCACCUCUCCCCGUGUGGCCUGAGGACUCCCACACUUCACUCUGCUCCUGGGGGUUCGCCCUUCCUGCCCGAGCACCGCCAGGUGACCUUCCUGCAGAGAUCAGGCGAAAUCAAGCGGGUGGAAAUAUGCCAUGUCCACAUGGUCUGCCAAGACACAGGUGACCAGUGACCCGAGACUGAGUAAUGAAGAUGGGAAAUGAAUAGGCAAGCAACCAAGCCUCUUUGGGAAGAUACCUGCAAACCUCAGGCACGUGGGGGUCAGCCUCCAACAAGGCCCCCUGGGAUUUGGGUCACCUCCUGAUGUUCGAGUCCCUCCCAUUUUAGAUCACAGGUGGGGUAACUUGUGUGAUGAGUGGAUUUCUGUGGAAGAACAGUAGGUGAGUUCGAAGGCUGGGUCAUAAAAGUCACUGCAGCCUCUGCCUUGGUCAUUUGCAGGGCUGGGCAAGUUUUUCCUGUA